UUGUCCUACGGGAGGCAGCAGUGGGGAAUAUUGGACAAUGGGGGAAACCCUGAUCCAGCGACGCCGCGUGAGUGAAGAAGUACUUCGGUACGUAAAGCUCUAUCAGCAGGAAAGAAAAUGACGGUACCUGACUAAGAAGCCCCGGCUAACUACGUGCCAGCAGCCGCGGUAAAACGUAGGGGGCGAGCGUUGUCCGGAAUGACUGGGCGUAAAGGGUGCGUAGGCGGCAUAAUAAGUUAGAAGUGAAAUACCCAGAGCUUAACUCGGGUGCUGCUUCUAAGACUGUUGAGCUUGAGUGCGGGAGG
rnacentral:rRNA from 1 species